UAUGCAGUCGAGCGGUAACAGAAAGUAGCUUGCUACUUUGCUGACGAGCGGCGGACGGGUGAGUAAUGCUUGGGAACAUGCCUUUAGGUGGGGGACAACAGUUGGAAACGACUGCUAAUACCGCAUGAUGUCUACGGACCAAAGGGGGCUUCGGCUCUCGCCUANAGAUUGGCCCAAGUGGGAUUAGCUAGUUGGUGAGGUAAUGGCUCACCAAGGCAACGAUCCCUAGCUGGUUUGAGAGGAUGAUCAGCCACACUGGAACUGAGACACGGNCCAGACUCCUACGGGAGGCAGCAGUGGGGAAUAUUGCACAAUGGGCGCAAGCCUGAUGCAGCCAUGCCGCGUGUGUGAAGAAGGCCUUCGGGUUGUAAAGCACUUUCAGUCAGGAGGAAAGGUUAGUAGUUAAUACCUGCUAGCUGUGACGUUACUGACAGAAGAAGCACCGGCUAACUCCGUGCCAGCAGCCGCGGUAAUACGGAGGGUGCGAGCGUUAAUCGGAAUUACUGGGCGUAAAGCGUACGCANGCGGUUUGUUAAGCGAGAUGUGAAAGCCCCGGGCUCAACCUGGGAACUGCAUUUCGAACUGGCAAACUANAGUGUGAUAGAGGGUGGUAAAAUUUCANGUGUAGCGGUGAAAUGCGUANAGAUCUGAAAGAAUACCGAUGGCNAANGCAGCCACCUGGGUCAACACUGACCCUCAUGUACNAAANCGUGGGGAGCAAACANGAUUAGAUACCCUGGUANUCCACNCCGUAAA
rnacentral:rRNA from 1 species